ensembl:piRNA 21ur-615 ncRNA
GUCAAUCACCUUCUCUGUUAU